rnacentral:hammerhead_ribozyme from 1 species
GUACUGCUGAGGAGUCCCAUAAUAGAACGAAACGGCAGUCCAAUGC